CGGGCCGGACAGCCGCGCGACCAGUACCGAAAGGUCGGCCGUGAGGAAAGUCCGGGCUCCACAGGGCAAGGAUAACGGGUAACGCCCGCCGAAGGCGACUUCAGGAAAAGUGCAACAGAGAUAUACCGCCCCGCCGGUACUUGUAUCGACGAGGUAAGGGUGGAAAGGCGAGGUAAGAGCUCACCCAUCAACGGGGAACCGCUUGAUGCUGUAAACUCUAUCCGGAGCAACACCGCAGAGGGGACUCAGGCUUGCCCGGCCGUCCCCGAGAAGGUGGCUGGAGCGUACCGGCAACGGUGCGCCUAGAUAGAUGGCUGUCGAUUACAGAACCCGGCUUAUAGGCCCGAUCG
rnacentral:RNase_P_RNA from 1 species